UCUCUACCUAAAAUGAUUAUAAAAGAAAUCGUCUAAUUUUUUUCUGUAGAUUUUGUUUGAUAAUUUUGUCUUUUGGUAAUCAGUGGUUGGAAUUAUCCACAGAUAUAAUCUGAGGUGUAGGUACUAGCGAUGGAAAGAAUCGAAUUAAGUAAUUCGAAUUAUUGGAUAAUGAGAAUUAAUUUGAUUAAAAUUACAAAUGAUCCCGAAUUACUUUUAGCUAACGCGAUAAGAGUUUUACAUUUUCUAUGGAUAAAAAAAUCAGGAAGAACUGAUAGAGGCAUCGAGAUGGAUCAAUUAUAUCCAAAAUUAUUUUUGUUAUUGCAUUUUAUUAUCAGUAGAGAAUUUCAUUUUCGUGACACAAAAAUGUUGCAAUAUGAAGUAAAGUAAAGAGCAGGUUGCUAUCUCGCACCGUUUCUGAGAAAUGUAUUUUCAAAAUAGGUACCCUAUGCAAGGAAAUCAAAAUUAUCGCUCAACGAUAGGAGAAAAUGAUCGACAAUGGGGUAUCAAAUGAUUGCAAAUUUAAGGCCAAAUUUAGCAAUGAGGAGAAAAUGUUGGUGUUACAUUUAAAAAAACAAAGGUAGGGACUACUAUGAAGCAGUUUCAUGCUAAUUAAAUGAAUAGAUAGGUAUAGUAGAAUAGAAUUAGAAAAUUGAAAUGAAGUGGAAAAUCAAUUAUUUUUUCUUUUCGUAAAUUUGUUCAUGUUGAUGUGUUUAAAAACAAAUCUAUUUUAUUUCUGAGCCCAAGAUUAUAUUUUGUAAGUUCUGUAUGUUCUGUAUUCCGGAAAUAGAUUCUUGCAAAUUUCUGCGCUAGGUAUUCCAAUUAUUGUUGCAAAAUUAAUAAAACUCGCGUUUUAAGUGAUCUAAGUUCAGUUACUAGCUAGUGUAACCAAGCGAUAAAUUAUCAAUUUGACCUUAAUAAUAUUAUCAGAUCAGGUUUACUGAACUUCAGAGUUUGCGACAAUCAUUAGUCAGGUGAUGUUCACUAAUUAAUGCUCGAUUAUCUUCUAAACUGGCACGGUUAUCCUGACUGUUAAUUAGGAUUCAUUAUAGAUAUUGAUAGAAUAAUGUAAACGCAAUUGCCGAUAUUUUAUUAUUUUUCGAUUGGGUCAAAUAUUUUGCUUUUUUGUAUUAUUAGUGUUGUAAGUAUACUGAAAUCGUUAAUGUUUGAAAGCAUCGUUUUAGUAAUAUAAUCUACUUUACGAUA